rnacentral:piRNA from 1 species
CAAGCUGAGUGUGAGGACAGGAGACAGGGC